rnacentral:lncRNA from 1 species
CCCUCAAUUUCCCAUCAAUUCUUCCUCAAUUUUCCCCGGAUUUUCCCUCAAUUUCCCGUCAAUUUCCUCAGUUUUCCCAAUUUCCCCUGAUUUCCCCUCAAUUUCCCCUCAAUUUCCUCAAUUGUCCCAAUUCCCCCAGAUUUUCCACCAAUCUCUGCUCAAUUCCCUCUCAAUUUCCCCUGAUUUUCCCCCAAUUUCCCAUCAAUUUCCUCAAUUUUCCCCAAUUUCCCCUCAAUUUCCUCCACUGUCCCCCGUUUCCCCUGAUUUUCCCUCAAUUUCCCAUCAAUUCUCCCUCAAU